GACGAACGCUGGUGGCGUGCUUAACACAUGCCAGUCGAACGGUAAGGCCCUUUCGGGGGUACACGAGUGGCGAACGGGUGAGUAACACGUGGGUGAUCUGCCCUGCACUUUGGGAUAAGCCUGGGAAACUGGGUCUAAUACCGGAUAGGACUACGCGAUGCAUGUCGUGUGGUGGAAAGCUUUUGCGGUGUGGGAUGGGCCCGCGGCCUAUCAGCUUGUUGGUGGGGUGAUGGCCUACCAAGGCGACGACGGGUAGCCGGCCUGAGAGGGUGUCCGGCCACACUGGGACUGAGAUACGGCCCAGACUCCUACGGGAGGCAGCAGUGGGGAAUAUUGCACAAUGGGCGCAAGCCUGAUGCAGCGACGCCGCGUGGGGGAUGACGGCCUUCGGGUUGUAAACCCCUUUCAGCACAGACGAAGCGUAAGUGACGGUAUGUGCAGAAGAAGCACCGGCCAACUACGUG
rnacentral:rRNA from 1 species